GCUUGCUUCUAUGACGUUAGCGGCGGACGGGUGAGUAACACGUGGGCAACCUGCCUGUAAGACUGGGAUAACUUCGGGAAACCGAAGCUAAUACCGGAUAGGAUCUUCUCCUUCAUGGGAGAUGAUUGAAAGAUGGUUUCGGCUAUCACUUACAGAUGGGCCCGCGGUGCAUUAGCUAGUUGGUGAGGUAACGGCUCACCAAGGCAACGAUGCAUAGCCAACCUGAGAGGGUGAUCGGCCACACUGGGACUGAGACACGGCCCAGACUCCUACGGGAGGCAGCAGUAGGGAAUCUUCCGCAAUGGACGAAAGUCUGACGGAGCAACGCCGCGUGAGUGAUGAAGGCUUUCGGGUCGUAAAACUCUGUUGUUAGGGAAGAACAAGUACGAGAGUAACUGCUCGUACCUUGACGGUACCUAACCAGAAAGCCACGGCUAACUACGUGCCAGCAGCCGCGGUAAUACGUAGGUGGCAAGCGUUAUCCGGAAUUAUUGGGCGUAAAGCGCGCGCAGGCGGUUUCUUAAGUCUGAUGUGAAAGCCCACGGCUCAACCGUGGAGGGUCAUUGGAAACUGGGGAACUUGAGUGCAGAAGAGAAAAGCGGAAUUCCACGUGUAGCGGUGAAAUGCGUAGAGAUGUGGAGGAACACCAGUGGCGAAGGCGGCUUUUUGGUCUGUAACUGACGCUGAGGCGCGAAAGCGUGGGGAGCAAACAGGAUUAGAUACCCUGGUAGUCCACGCCGUAAACGAUGAGUGCUAAGUGUUAGAGGGUUUCCGCCCUUUAGUGCUGCAGCUAACGCAUUAAGCACUCCGCCUGGGGGAGUACGGUCGCAAGACUGAAACUCAAAGGAAUUGACGGGGGCCCGCACAAGCGGUGGAACCAUGUGGUUUAAUUCGAAGCAACGCGAAGAACCUUACCAGGUCUUGACAUCCUCUGACAACUCUAGAAGAUAGAGCGUUCCCCUUCGGGGGACAGAGUGA
rnacentral:rRNA from 1 species